GAUGGCCUAGUGGUUAGAGCGUUUGCCUCGGAUGCGAGAGGUCGAGGGUUCGAACCCCGAGUGUCUGUGGCA